rnacentral:ncRNA from 1 species
UAGAAAAUCGUUUAAAAGGGAAUCAGGUGAAAAUCCUGAACAGACCCGCUACUGUAAGCUUCAAAACAGUCUUUUGACAAAGCUCUUAACCACUGAUUCGAAAAGGAUUGGGAAGGUAGUUCAAAAGAUGAAGUAAGUCAGGAUACCUGCCAGAACAUCU